rfam:Hordeum vulgare subsp. vulgare, WGS project CAJW01000000 data, contig: morex_contig_1563519
UAUAUACUCCCUCCGUCUCAAAAUUCUUAUCUUAAAUUUGUUUAGAUAUGGAUGUAUCUAGUCAUGUUUUAGUAUUUUGAUACAUUCAUUUUUAAACAAACCUAAGACAAGAAUUUUGGGUUGGGGGGAGUAUAUG